rfam:Ictidomys tridecemlineatus contig047221, whole genome shotgun sequence.
GAGGUUGUGUCUCAGUGGUAGAGUGCUUGCCUAAUACGCAUGAGGCACUGGGUUCGAUCCCCUGCACCACA